AUUGAACGCUGGCGGCAGGCCUAACACAUGCAAGUCGAGCGGAUGAAGGGAGCUUGCUCCUGGCUUCAGCGGCGGACGGGUGAGUAAUGCCUAGGAAUCUGCCUGGUAGUGGGGGAUAACGUCCGGAAACGGGCGCUAAUACCGCAUACGUCCUGAGGGAGAAAGUGGGGGAUCUUCGGACCUCACGCUAUCAGAUGAGCCUAGGUCGGAUUAGCUAGUUGGUGGGGUAAAGGCCUACCAAGGCGACGAUCCGUAACUGGUCUGAGAGGAUGAUCAGUCACACUGGAACUGAGACACGGUCCAGACUCCUACGGGAGGCAGCAGUGGGGAAUAUUGGACAAUGGGCGAAAGCCUGAUCCAGCCAUGCCGCGUGUGUGAAGAAGGUCUUCGGAUUGUAAAGCACUUUUAGUUGGGAGGAAGGGCAGUAAGUUAAUACCUUGCUGUUUUGACGUUACCAACAGAAUAAGCACCGGCUAACUUCGUG
rnacentral:rRNA from 1 species